UUCAGGUCAUUACACGUGCGUCCUCCUCAAAGUUGUGCGGAAAUCGCGUACGGCUGUAUAUUCCUGUUUUCUGUGAGAAGGAGGAAAUGCUGUCCUUCUGGGAUGUGGCUGUUGAUUUCUCUCCAGAAGAGUGGGAAUGCCUGGGGCCUGCUCAGUGGAGUCUGUACAGGGACGUGAUGCUGGAGAAUUACAGCAACCUUGUGUUCCUGGGUCUUGCUGUCUCUAAGCCAUUCCUGGUGACAUUUCUGGAGCAAAGACAUGGGCCUUGGGAUGUGAAGAGAGAAGCGGCAGCCACUGUGCCCCCAGGAAUAAUACUCAAUGAUCCUAAGUAUUACAGCAUGCCCACUAACUGUAAAUCAUUUCUUGUUAAUGGAGGGAGAAUUCAUAUAGGGGAGAAACCCUACAACUGUGGAGUAUGUGGUAAGGCCCUUAGUUCUUAUAAAACACUUUAUAUACACCAGAGACUUCAUACUGGAGACAAACCCUUCAAGUGUAAAGACUGUCAUAAGGCCUUUAGUACUCGGUCAUCACUUUUUAUACACACGAAAAAUCAUUCUGAUGAAAAAACCUACAAGUGUGAAGAAUGUGGCAAGUUAUUUUACUAUCCUUCAAUGCUAAAGCAACAUCAGAGAAUUCAUUCUGGAGAGAAACCCUACAAGUGUGAAGAUUGUGGAAAAUUCUUUUUAUUUCCCUCAUUCCUUAAGCAACAUCAAAGAAUUCAUUGCGGAAAAAAUUCCUAUCAGCAUAAAGAAUGUGUCAAAAGAUUUUCCCAUCCUCUACAACUUCAGGAAAAUGAACAAAUCCCUACUGAAGAGAAACCCUACAAGUGUGGAGAAUGUUGUAAGUCCUUUCGUUAUCCCUCAGGCCUUAGGACACACAAGAUAGUUCAUACUGGAGAGAAACCUUACAAGUGUGAAGAGUGUGGCAAAUGUUUUACAUCAUCUUCCUGCCUUAGAACACAUCAAACAAUUCACUCAGAAGACAAUCCUUACAAGUGUGAAGAGUGUGGCAAAUGUUUUUCCUCAUCUUCCUGCCUUAGAAGACAUCAAGCAAUUCAUUCUGAGCACAAACCCUACAAAUGUGAAGAGUGUGGCAGAUGUUUUACCUCAUCUUCAGCCCUUAGACGACAUCAAAGAUUCCAUUCCGAAGAGAAGCUGUAUAAGUGUAAAGAAUGUGACAAAAAGUUUUCAAAUUCUAAAAGUCUUCAGGAACAUAAAACAAUUCAUACUGGACAGAAACCAUACAAGUGUGAAAACUGUCACAAAGCUUUUCAUUAUAGCUCAUCCCUUAGGAGACAUAAACCAGUUCAUACUGGAGAGAAAUCCUACAAAUGUGAAAAAUGUCACAAAGCCUUUCGUCAUCACUCAUCCUUUACGAGACAUAAGACAGUUCAUACUAGAGAGAGACCCUUCAAAUGUGAAAACUGUCACAAAGCUUUUCGUCAUAGCUCAUCUCUUAGAAAACAUAAUAUGGUUCAUACUAGAGAGAAAUCCAACAAGUGUAAAAAGUGCCCUAGGUACUUUUCCUCAUCCCCAUGCCUUGUACAACAUCAAGCAAUUCACUCUGAAGACAAUCCACACAAGUGUGUGGAAUGUGGCAAGGCUUUUAUUGAUGCUUAUAGCCUUACUCGACACAUGACAGUUCAUACUGGAGAGAAAUCUCAGAAAGGUCUGAUGUUGCAGGAUUUUCCUUGUCCAAUUACAUUAGGGCAACAGGAGGCCUGUGAUUGGACAGGGAAAAUGGAGGUGGAGCUAAGAGUUGCAGAGACAGAGAGCAUCUCAGGGGAGAAGGAGGAAGGCCAACUUGGAGGUGGAUAUGAGCCAGCAUGGCUUUAACCAGCUACAGUAUUUAUGAUAUCAUAAGUGUAGAAUAAUUGGGAUAAAGCUCUUAUUAUUAUCAAUUGGUAUGAAAUUAUUGUAUUGGCAUCUUGCAAACUGAGAAUUUAUUGGUACAUAAAUCUGAUUGGUUAAUUAGAAGCUCCUAGUGUCUUGUUUCUACCGGGUAAUUGGGUGUUGUGGUGGCUGACCACAGAGUGGACAGGCAGGCAGGAGCUAGCUAGAGAGUUGCUGGCUGCAGGAGCAUGGGAAGACUGUUGUUCAGGACCCACUGGAGAGUUGGGUGGCAGAGAGAAACUGGGGUGCGGAGAGUUGGCCGUUUCUUUUUUAAUAUUUCCCACAACAGUCUCAAAAACUUUAUAUUUCUUAAGCCCUUAAGACGUCAAAUAAUUCAUACUGAAUGAAACUCUGUGGCUGUGUGGAGUGUGGUAAAAAUCAUUCCUAAUCCUUCAAACCUUAUCCAAUUCAAAUCAGCCCAAAGGUUAAAGUCUUAAGUGAAUUAGUAUGGAAUGUCAACACCAACAUGGUGCAACGUCCACCAAUACAAAUGUUGAGAAUGUCAUCAGAGAACUGUAGAGACUUCUCUUUGCAACAACCGCCCCACCAGUGUGUUCUAUAGUUUGCUGGAAUAUCGCAUGGUUUGAUGCGUUUCUUUCUUCUAUACUUAUAGACAUAAAACAAAACUGCUACUAUUUUCUCACGUGGGUCUGAGAUGAGGGCCAUGGUAUAGUUGCUGUUGUUCAUCUCAGUGGGGUCACCAAGCCCCUCUAAUAAUGUUUCUCCUAAGCAUGUAAAAAAGCUUGAUAAACUCACAAGUCUCACUUUUGUAAAAUGGUCUGCAUUGGUUCUAACUAGGCUGAAUGGGCAUUAGUGUUUCUCCAGGAAAAUCUAACAGUUAGAACACAUCGAAGUCAUAUUUGGUUCCAGAAUGAAGAAUCAUUAUUUUCUUUACCUUCAGAACAGUGUUUCUUAUCCAACUUCCAUGUCAGAGAAACUUGACAGGGAAUUGAAAUAUGGACCCAGGCCGCAUGCACUCACUGAGUAAAAGGGACGGGUGUGUUUACUAGUGGACAUGUGAUGUCAGUGGUGAGACAUAGGUGCAGGGCUUACUUUAUUAUUCAUGCAGAUCCAAAAUAGUCAUCUCAAGCUUGAGUUUACUAAGUUGGGUAAGCAGUUAUAUCAUGGUCAAUUAAAGCCUAAAAGUUAUGAAUUAAUUAUUUUUAAGUGACCAAAUGUCUCUAAUGUACCUAACAGUGUAUUUGAAGUACAGGUGACAUUUAUGGUGACAAGGCAGGUUGGAGAGGCCAGCUUAUGUCUCUUAAUCUUUAGUCUUCUGUAUGCUAUUGAAGUACAUCCUAAGAGACACUCGGGAGGCCAGGCAGCAGGAGCUGAUGGGAGAACGCAUGGAGGGAUGUUUUUUGCUGGCUUGCUUCCCCUGGCCUGCUCCCUUUGGUUUUUUGUAGAACCUAAGACUACCAGGCCAGAGAUGGUACCACCAACAUGGGGCCUUCCCCAUUUGAUCUCUAAUUGAGAAAAGGCCCCUCAGCUGAAUCUCAUGGAUGCGGUUCCCCAACCGAAGCUCCUUUCUUUGUGAUAACCCUUGCAUGGGUUAAGUUAACACACAAAAGCAGCCAUUACAAAGCCCAAGCUUGCUCACCUAUACUCUAGCCUGAUCUGAGUGAACAGACUCAUCUCUGUUCUGGAGACUGGACUCUGGGUAAGAACUCAGGAAAGUUGCAUGCCUGCCGACCACUCUAAGUCUUAUGUGAUACUGCAGUGAUAACAGGGGUCUUGCCCCCUGUAGUCCUUACUGUUUAGAUCAUCUUCCUUGGUGAGACUCCUGUGAGUCUUGUGAAGAACUCUGAAUUCUCCAUGCCUAUUCACAAGCUUCAUGUUCGAGAGUACACUUCUCGGAAAGUUCUCCAGGGUCAGCAUGCAGCGACAGAGGAAACUGUUUUUGGGGCCUGACACUAUCCCAAGAUGGAAGCAGAACUGCCUAGCCCUAACCCCAUUGUACUCGUGGAAUCUCUGAGGUGCUGCCUGAAGGUCAGCAUCGAGCUUUGCAGCUGUGCUAAAAGAAAUGCUUUCCAUGCAAUUGGUAUGUUGUAUACUGUCCCUCCUCACACCUUUGUGGGGUCACACUUCAUGAAACAUGCCGGGGACAGCUAAGUGGACUUGGAACCCCAGCAUAGACUCAUGUUAGAACCACAGCCACAUCUAGACAGAGGCUAUCUGUGUUUCAGCCCACAGAUCAAGUUUAGGUUGACACUGUUCUUUGGCAUCUGUCUUAGUCAGGGUUUCUAUUCCUAUGCAAACAUCAUGACCAAGAAGCAAGUUGGGGAGACAAGGGUUUAUUCAGCUUACACUUCCACGUUGCAGUUCAUCACUAAAGGAAGUCAGGACUGGAACUCAAGCAGGUCAGGAAAGAGAAACUGAUGCAGAGGCCAUGGAGGGAUGUUUUUUACUGGUUUGCUUCCCCUGACUUGCUCAGCUUGCUUUCUUAUAGAACUACCAGUCCAGAGAUGGUACCACCCACAAGGGGCCCUCCCCUCUUGAUCUGUAUUUGAGAAAAUGCCCACAGCUGGGUCUCAUGGAGGCACUUCCCCAACUAAGGCUCCUUUCUCAGUGAUAACUCCAGCCUGUGUCAAGUGGACACACAAAACCUUCAGUACUGCAUUCAAAUGAUCCGUUCAGCAGCCACAGAUGCAAUGCAUGUGAUGAGGGUUUUCAGAGCACAUUUCCAUCUAACUUGUUCUUACCCUUCUCUGCCAGGUGCCCAUUCCUCCCUUUUGGAAUAGGCAGGUUUCCACUGGCCCAUGGCAUGUUGAAGGAGAAAACUUGUGAGCAUUUUUGAGAUAAGCAAUUGAUCGAAUUACAACAUUGGAGACUCUGGGCUUUGACUGUAAUGGGACUAUAAAAGUCUAUGGGCAUGUUGAGAAAUUGUACUUUUUAGAAACAGAUGAAAGUGAAAUUCUCAGAGGUUUUCAGGUUAGAGAUUAUGGUGUAUUUUGAGGUCUUUGAUUGACUAAUUCCAAUAAAGUUAUUUGAUAUUUCUGA